UAGAUGUAAAAAGACAAUCUUUAAAUUGAGUUUGUUAUUCUUAAAUCUCGGUUUAGGUGGUGCCUUUGCUGUUGAGUCUGCUCCCAGGAUGCUCCUUGACUGAUAUUAUGUCCUGUGCCACUGCACAGUCAGUCAAAACCCUGCUGGUCGCAAAGAUUCAAGCUUUCAAAAUAGCAGCAUCCAAGGUGUCAAGAGGUGGCAGGAUGGCCCUUGCCAAAGAUGACAGCCAAUCACAAACAUCCUCACAGAAGUUACAGGCUGAGGAUGGUCCAGAGCGGAAGAUAAAGCCAUGUGUUGCUCCAGUAGAGCUGCACAGCAAGCUAGUCAAGAGAAAACAGAUGAAUCAAGCUGUGAAAAGAGCCCUGCAGCAGAGGCAGCCCCUGCACUAUGACGGGCCACGUCUGGCCCCUAUCCACUCUGUACGUGAGGAGCCUAGCACUCAGCAACGGCCAUAUGUGUGGAGGAAAUUUGGGGGCUUUGGGCUCAAUUGUUGAAGACUCAUUGGAAUGAAUCAUUCUCAGCAAUUCUGGUGACUGGGUAAUCUGUUACUCCCAUAAUACUUUGGGUUUACUGAAGUGAAAACUUAAAGGGAUACUACUUCACUCAAACAUGAAAAUUCAGUCAUCAUUUAAUCACCGUCAUGUCAUGACUUGACAGCUGUAUGACUUUAUUUCUUAUGUGGAGAAACAAACAAACAAAAAUGUUUUUGUUUUGUUUUUGAAGAACAUUCGAGUCCAAACAUCAUUGGACCCCACUGACUUUCACUAUAUAGACAAAACAUUUUUUUUUUCAAAAUGUCUUCUUUUGAGUUCCACAAAAGAGAGAGAAACACAUACAGGUUUGGAAUGAUAUCAAUCAUGUAUAUUUCCUUUUAGGUUAGAGAUUAUUUUGGCAUUACAUUUGAUUUAGUCAAUCCCUUGCUAUAAUGCAGUGGGAGUUGUUUUGUUCGUAGCAGCUGUUGCUGCUCAGAGGUCCUCAGCAGCUGGGGAAACAGCUGAGAAAGUGAGCGAGAGAAGAAAGCGAGAGAGAGAACAGUAUAAAAACACCACUGGCAGCUGAUCCCAGACUUUUAUCACAGACAUUUACACUCCCUUGCUAAUAGUGAAACACAUGUUUUCAGCCCCUAGAGAAGACAGCCCGAGAUUUUUGGCAUAGUAAUAAUGGAACAAUCAGACGUCAUUUUCUGACAUUUAUUGUCUUUGUGCAAAAAGAAAACAUACAUGAAAUAAAGACUUUAAUUUCUGUAAUUGACCAUUCAGUCCAGUCUGCAGUUAUGUAGGCUGUGAAAAGGGCAUUCUCUCAGCUGUGUGGUGAUUUAAAAUCUUUACUAGACUUGCAGCUUAUCUUUGUAGAUGACAUGAAGUAAAACAAAUAUAUUUAUAAAACAAAUUUCUGUGGUUCAGUCCUUAUUGCAGUUUUAAAAUUAUCAAAAAUGAAAGAGGUUUAAGGCAUAUCCUUCAUGGCAGUGUGAGGAUAUUUG